rnacentral:miRNA from 15 species
CAGUUGCUAGCUGCACUCCACA